ACGAAACCACGGACAGGGCCCGAACUCCGCGCUUCCGCCGGAAGCGGCUGAUUCCGCCGCGGGGGAACUUCCGCCAGUACUUCUGCCAGGCAAUGCUUCUGAUUGGUCCGGGCCGCGUUUGGCGCCUCUCGCCAGAGGUCUCGCGAGAGAAGCAGCGCAGCCAUGUUUGUUGAGGGCAAUUCUGUGGGCUCCUGAGACCGCUCCGCGUUCCCUCCUAAAUCCAGCCGGGAACGGCGGAAUAUAUCUGCCUGGAAAUUGUGGGAAUGAGCCUAGAUCCCCUCAGGCUGAGUCUAAACCCUUUGGGACUGAGCCUAAAUCCCCUCGGACUGAGCCAAAGCUCCCAAAUGGUGGAGCUUCCCUUGGAUAGGGGCGGUACUGGAAAGGGCGGUCAGUGACGUCUUCUCGCCCCGCCCCUUCCCGGCCCGUCCUGUGGCGGCUCCGCCAUUUUCCCGGCGCCGUGCCCGGGGCCGGUUUCGGCCUGCACCCCGAAGGUCCCGGGGCUCCUUCGCCACCGGAGUGUCCCCAAGGUGUCCCAGUGAACAUGGAGCCCAAAGAGCUGUCCCCGGCCCUGCUGCAGCCACAGGUCACUGUGGUGGCCAUCGUGGGUGAGCUGCUGGCCACCCUGCCCAGCCUGGACGAGAUGAAUCUGCUCGUGUCCGCAUUGCGCCUGUACUGGGACCUGGAUGAAUUCACCUGGGAGUUCCGGGUCACCCUGUACUGCAUUACUGACACCUCGGGGUGCCACAAUGUCACCUCUGAUGAUGAUGAUGAUGACUCCACCACCUAUCUGAGCCAGGGCCUGGCCAAGUACAGGAACACCCCAUGGACCAGCCCAUAUGAUCUGAGAAAAGCGGACGAUCUGAUAAAAGCGGCCAGCAUCUGGCAGAUGGGGUUGUUUCUGCUUGUGGACUUGUGGGCCAAGCUGGCCAGGAAGGCCACCAAGCUCCACCAUACCUGCAGGGUGGUGGCCAACAAGGUGACCGACAUGGCGAGCACUGCCACCGCCCGGGCCAGGGAGCUGCAGGCCGAGGCUUCCUGUGAUGGCACAGCUCAGGAAAAC
rnacentral:lncRNA from 1 species